rnacentral:lncRNA from 1 species
UUUAAUGACCGUAAUUCACAAUUGAACUACAUCUACAUGCAACGCCUAACCAUAACGGUUUGAAAAAUCAUAUUUGUGUACUUGUGUGCGAGUUAAUUCCAUGUGCAGUAAAUUAGAAGGAAAUUUCAAACAUAUUUGUCACACGACUCAACACAUGCAUAUGUAUGCAUGGAGUGACAUCGCAUUUAAAUUCCAAAAAAUUAAAAACAUAUCAGAAACACAUGAAACCUUGGUUGAUGUAGUGUGAUGCCACCAAGAUGAUGUGGUGAAUUUGGCAUGUGUGACGAAAAUUUGGACACACACCACUCACAAACCGGAGCAACUCACUAGAAGGCUAGUGGUUCCGAGAGGGACAAUGCAUGUUUGAUGAGGAACGGAACAUAGCUUUCUCUUACAGCUUCUAAAUUUUUCUACAUGUAACGUGCACUAAUACUACUGACAUGUGAAAAUUUGGAAAAUUUCAGUGGUCGUUUGACCUUUUGAAGACAUUUAAGUGAUUUUCUAGCCAUUUAAUGACCGUAAUUCAAAUUUGAACUACAUCUACAUGCAACAGCUAACCAUAAUGGUUUGAAAUAUCAUAUUUGUGUACUUGUCUGCGAGUUAAUUACAUGUGCAGUAAAUAAGAAGAAAUUUUCAACAUAUUUGUCUCACGACUGGACACAUGCAUAUGUAUGCAUGGAGUGACAUGACAUUUAAAUUCCAAAAAACUAAAAAAAUAUCAGAAACACAUGAAACCUUGGUUGAUGUAAUGUCAUGCCACCAAGAUGAUGUGGUAAAAAAAUUGGCAUGUUUGGCGAAAGUUUGGACACACACCCUUCACAAACCGGAGCAACUCACUAGAAGGCUCGUGGUUCCGAGAGGGAACACUGCAUGUUUGAUGACGAACGGGAGAUAGCUUCCUGUUACGGCCUUCAAAUUUUUUCUACGUCUAACGUGCAAUACUACAACUGUACUGUGAAAUUUUGGAAAAUUCUAGGGGUCAUUUGACUUUUAAUGACAUUUAAUUGAUUUUCUAGCCAUUUAAUGAGCGUAAUUCACAUUUGAACUACAUCUACAUGCAAUGCCUAACCAUAACGGUUUGAAAAAUCAUAUUUGUGUACAUGGAGUGACAUGGCAUUUAAAAUCCAAAAAACGAAAAAAAAUCAGAAACACAUGAAGCCUUGGUUGAUGUAAUGUCAUGCCACCAAGAUUAUGUGGUAAAAAAAUUGGCAGGUUUGACGAAAGUUUGGACACACACCCCUCACAAAACGGAGCAACUCUCUAGAAGGCUCGUGGUUCUGUGACGCCCUCGAUUCAAUUGUACACUAAUCAUACACGCAAAUGUGUACGAUCAAGAUCAAGCACUCACGGGAAAAUAUCACAACACAACUCUAGACACAAAUUAAAAUAAUACAAGCUUUAUAUUACAAGCUAGGGGCCUCGAGGGCUCGAAUACAUAAGUUCGAAAACACAUGACUCGGCGGAAGCAACAAUAUUUGAGUACAGACAUAAGUUAGACAAGUUUGCCUUAAGAAGGCUAGCACAAAAGCAACAUCGAUCGAAAAGGCAAGGCCUCCUGCCUGGGAGCCUCCUAACUACUCCUGGUCGUCGGCGGCCUCCACGAAGUAGUAGGAGCCCUCAGUGUAGUAGCAGUCGUCGUCGAAGGUGGCGUCUGGAUCCUGGGCUCCACCAUCUGGUUUCAUCAACCGGAAAGAAGAAGAAAGGGGGAAAAGGGGGAGCAAAGCAACCGUGAGUACUCAUCCAAAGUACUCAAAAGCAAGGAUCGGCACUACAUAUGCAUUGGUAUCAAUGAAAUGGGUUGUAUCUGUGGACUGGACUACAGAAUGCCAGAAGAGAAGGGGAAAGCCUAGCCUAUCGAAGACUAGCAUCUUCAAGCAGCUCCAAGUAUCUUGCAGCAUUCAGAAAAGAUGAGUGUAGCAUAAAUUAAAGUAGUAGUAGUGUUAUCAACCUCGGCUAGAGAUCCUUUCUCGACUCCCUGCGAGAAAGCAAUCCCAGAGCCAUACUAUCCAUUUCUCAUAUCCAUGUCUCAUCUCAAGUAUCCAGUUCUAGUUGUAUCAAUCGGGAUACAACUCCAAGUGUCCGUUACCAUAGGACAGGCUAUCGAUAGAUGUUUUCUUCCCUGGAGGGGUGCACCAACUUACCCACCACGCUCGAUUAACUCCGGCCGGACACACUUUCCUGGGUCAUGCCCGGCCUCGGCCAAACAAUACGCCGCAACCCGACCUAGGCUUAAUAGAGAGGUCAGCACGCUAGACUAAACCUAUUCCCCCAGGGGUCAUGGGCCAUCGCCCCGAGAACUCCUGCACGUUGCGAACGCGGCCGGUCAGCAGACCUAGCUACCUCCUUCAAAAAGACAGGUGCUUACCAAUCCAACCCGGCGCGCGCCGCCAGUCGCUGACGUCUGUUAAGCUUCGGUUGAUGCAUACGACAAAGAAAGCCCAUACUAUGCCCACGUGAUGGUUAGUGCUAUCAGGCUAGAGGCCCCUCGGAUCAAUUAUCCAAAUCGUAGUGGAUUAGGAGCACGCGGUAACAAGCAGAGACUCGCGAAAGAUGUGACACCGUUGUCCCAUCUCGAGGACUUCCGGCAAGGGCUAGGAAUGCCCGGCCACGCCUCGUAAUUAUCUUGCGGGCACCCUCCAGGUCAACCCGUCUCCACAUCACACGCGCGUACCCCUCAGGUUCGACCCGCCUCUCCAAGUAACGGUGGUAAAGUCCAAGUAUCCGUGUGUCCAAACAUCAAGGGGAAAACCCAAGGAAUCACCCCCGGUGAAUUCCACUCGAUGUAGUCAUCAAGGUGAACGUAAGAGGAUCCACCCUCGAGGUUCACACUUGAGGGGUUGCACGACAGAGUCGUAUCGGAAGUGGUUAAGGAAGAAAUCACCCUCGAUGACCACGACCGAAUAGCUACACUACAGAGAUCCCAUCAGGAGUGAUGUAUGAGGUUCCACCCUCGGCACUCGAUGGUAACUCUGCUGAGUCGAGCAACAAAAGGGGCGGGAUGUGAUGUGAGGUGUCGGGCUCCGAUCUUCGAUCCCGUUGAUCGGGUCUUCAAACAUAAAGCGGGUCAACCGGGACAAGGUGGGGGUCACUAAUGGAUCACUAACCAGCCUAUACUAAGCAUUUUAGGAUAAGCAGGUAAGGUACAAUGAGUAGGUUACAAAAGCGGGCUAAGCAUCAGAAUAGGAGCAAACAAUAACAGUAGCAAAAUCUAAUGCAAGCAUGGGAGAAUGGAAUGGGCGAUAUUGAAAUGAUCAAAGGGGGGGCUUGCCUUGUUAUUCUGGCAAGGAGGGGUCGUUGUCGACGUAGUCGAUCACAGGGGCAGCAUCGGUCUCGGGGUCUACCGGAGAGAAGAGGGGGGAGAAAUAGUAAAUGUAAAGCAAACAUAGCAUCACAAAGCAUAACGUGGCAAUAUGUUGUGCCGGGUGUGACCUAACGUAUGGCUACACGAUACAGGUGAAGGUGGAAUUCAACCGGGAAUUCCCGGUUCCGGACCUGUGUAAGACAGAUGACCGGAGGGGGAUGUUCCAUGUUCAUAUAGUUAGAGGCAUCUGACAGGUAAACGGAUCGCGCAUUCGGAUUCGUUGGAUUUUUCUGAGCAACUUUCAUAUAUAAAGUUUUUCGAUCCGAGCUACCGUUUAUUUUCUACGGAUUUUUAAAGAUUAAAGUAUUUUCUGGAGUUAUUCAAAUUAGCAGAAAUUCAUUAUGAUGUCAGCAUUGCAUGGGGAUUACGUCAGCAGUCAACAGACUCGCUGACCAGGGUCGAACCUGACCUGUGGGUCCAAUGGGACCCACAUGUCAGCCUCUGUUAGUCCAACAGGGUUUUAUACUAAUCUAGCUGGGUUAAUUAACUGGGUGGGGCCCUUCUGUCAGUGAGUGAUUAGUGUUUUGAAUAAUUAAUUUAACUAAUUAACUGGCUUGUAUUUAUUUAAAAACGUUAAAUGGACGGGACCCACAUGCCAGUGACACGGGGCCAGCCUAGUCAGCAGUUGACCCGGUUAACAGGUCAACUGGACCCACUGGUCAGUGGCACGGCGGGCCCCAGUAGUCAGUCCAAGUCAGCGGUGGCCGGCGACUCGCCGAAAUCACGCCGGCGAGCGCAUUCGUCGUGGCACGAGAAUGGGCACCGGUCGGAAACCGCGCACAGACCACCAUUUUGGCCGCGGUUGAGUGGAUUGGAACGGUGAGUCGACGGCGCAUCAACUGGCGGUGGUCGGAGUGGCUGAAACGACGGCGACGAGCUGGUUCGGGAGCUCUACGGGGAGACCAUUUCGGCGUGCGAACCAACGGAAGAAAGAGCUAGGCGGGUGCUAUGCAGUGCGGCGACUCUAACGGGCACUCGCCCAUGACCAUAAGUUCACCGGAGACUCGCCGACGACGAGCCCCGCGGCGCUGUGUUCGGGAGCGCGUGGAAAAUGUAGUUAGGAUACGCGCUAGGGCCAGCAGGGAGUGGGGAAGGAAGAGAAGCUCACCGGGGAGGCACAAGGUGGCCUGGUGUCAGCUUAGUAGCAGCAGCAGUUGCCAGAGAGGACGAAGUUCACCGGCGACAGUGGCGGAAGGGGACGGCUGGCUCGGCUCGUUGUGGAGCUCUCCGGCUCCAAUUAGGGGCACCAGACGACGCAGCUUUUCGUGGCGGAGCGCUACGGCAUGAUGGAUCGGCUCGGAGACGACGGGGACAGCAAGGACGACGGCGCGCGGCGGUAGAUGCGUUCGGGUGGUGGAUCUGAGAAGGAGGCGCGGUGACGGAGUGAGCGGGGAGAGGGGGAGAAAUGGAUGAGGACGCCAGGGAGAGCGGGGGUGAGUGGAGGCGGGGAUCGAGGAGACGGGGAGGCGCGGGGCCUUACCCCCUCGUCGGAGCUGGCGAGGUGGUCGGUCGGCGACGAGCCCCUCUAGUGGUCAUUUGACCUUUUAAAGACAUUUAGGUUUUUUUCUAGCCAUUUAAUGACUGUAAUUCAAAUUUGAACUACAUCUACAUGCAACGGCUAACCACAAUGGUUUGAAAAAUCAUAUUUGUGUGCUUUUGUGCGCGUUAAUUCCAUGUGCAGUAAAUUAUAACGAAUUUUCAAACAUAUUUGUCUCACGAUUGGACACAUGCAUAUGUAUGCAUGGAGUAAGAUGGCAUUUAAAUUCCAAAAAACUAAAAAAUAACAGAAACACAUGAAACCUUGGUUGAUGUAAUGUCAUGCCACCAAGAUGAUGUGGUAAAAAAAUUGGCAUGUUUGACGAAAGUUUGGACACACACCCCUCAGAAACCGGAGCAACUCACUACAAGGCUCGUGGUUCCGAGAGGGAACACUGCAUGUUUGAUGACGAACGGGAGAUAGCUCCCUGUUACAGCCUUCAAUUUUUCUACGUCUAGCGUGCAAUACUACAACUGUACUGUGAAAAAUUGGAAAACUCUAGUGGCCAUUUGACCUUUUGAAGACAUUCAAGUUAUUUUCUAGCCAUUUAAUGACCGUAAUUCACAUUUGAACUACAUCUACAUGCAACACCUAACCAUAACGGUUUUAAAAAUCAUAUUUUUGUACUUGUGUGCGAGUUAAUUCCAUGUGCAGUAAAUUAGAAGGAAAUUUCAAACAUAUUUGUCUCACGACUGGACACAUGCAUAUGUAUGCAUAGAGUGACAUGGCAUUUAAAUUCCAAAAACUUAAUAAAAUAUCAGAAACACAUGAAACCUUGGUUGAUGUAGUGUCAUGCCACCAAGAUGAUGUGGUGAAUUUGGCAUGUGUGACGAAAGUUUGGACACACACCCCUCACAAACCGGAGCAACUCACUAGAAGGCUAGUGGUUCCGAGAGGGACAAUGCAUGUUUGAUGACCAACGGGACAUAGCUUCCUCUUACAGCUUUUAAAUUUUUUCUACGUGUAACGUGCAGUAAUACUACUGACAUGUGAAAAAUAGGAAAAUUUCAGGGGUCAUUUGACCUUUUGAAGACAUUUAAGUGAUUUUCUAGCCAUUUAAUGACCGUAAUUCAAAUUUGAACUACAUCUACAUGCAACAGCUAACCAUAAUGGUUUGAAAUAUCAUAUUUGUGUACUUGUCUGCGAGUUAAUUACAUGUGCAGUAAAUAAGAAGAAAUUUUCAAACAUAUUUGUCUCACGACUGGACACAUGCAUAUGUAUGCAUGGAGUGACAUGACAUUUAAAUUCCAAAAAACUAAAAAAAUAUCAGAAACACAUGAAACCUUGGUUGAUGUAAUGUCAUGCCACCAAGAUGAUGUGGUAAAAAAAUUGGCAUGUUUGGCGAAAGUUUGGACACACACCCUUCACAAACCGGAGCAACUCACUAGAAGGCUCGUGGUUCCGAGAGGGAACACUGCAUGUUUGAUGACGAACGGGAGAUAGCUUCCUGUUACGGCCUUCAAAUUUUUUCUACAUCUAACGUGCAAUACUACAACUGUACUGUGAAAUUUUGGAAAAUUCUAGGGGUCAUUUGACUUUUAAUGACAUUUAAUUGAUUUUCUAGCCAUUUAAUGAGCGUAAUUCACAUUUGAACUACAUCUACAUGCAAUGCCUAACCAUAACGGUUUGAAAAAUCAUAUUUGUGUACAUGGAGUGACAUGGCAUUUAAAAUCCAAAAAACGAAAAAAAAUCAGAAACACAUGAAGCCUUGGUUGAUGUAAUGUCAUGCCACCAAGAUUAUGUGGUAAAAAAAUUGGCAGGUUUGACGAAAGUUUGGACACACACCCCUCACAAAACGGAGCAACUCUCUAGAAGGCUCGUGGUUCUGUGACGCCCUCGAUUCAAUUGUACACUAAUCAUACACGCAAAUGUGUACGAUCAAGAUCAAGCACUCACGGGAAAAUAUCACAACACAACUCUAGACACAAAUUAAAAUAAUACAAGCUUUAUAUUACAAGCUAGGGGCCUCGAGGGCUCGAAUACAUAAGUUCGAAAACACAUGACUCGGCGGAAGCAACAAUAUUUGAGUACAGACAUAAGUUAGACAAGUUUGCCUUAAGAAGGCUAGCACAAAAGCAACAUCGAUCGAAAAGGCAAGGCCUCCUGCCUGGGAGCCUCCUAACUACUCCUGGUCGUCGGCGGCCUCCACGAAGUAGUAGGAGCCCUCAGUGUAGUAGCAGUCGUCGUCGAAGGUGGCGUCUGGAUCCUGGGCUCCACCAUCUGGUUUCAUCAACUGGAAAGAAGAAGAAAGGGGGAAAAGGGGGAGCAAAGCAACCGUGAGUACUCAUCCAAAGUACUCAAAAGCAAGGAUCGGCACUACAUAUGCAUUGGUAUCAAUGAAAUGGGUUGUAUCUGUGGACUGGACUACAGAAUGCCAGAAGAGAAGGGGAAAGCCUAGCCUAUCGAAGACUAGCAUCUUCAAGCAGCUCCAAGUAUCUUGCAGCAUUCAGAAAAGAUGAGUGUAGCAUAAAUUAAAGUAGUAGUAGUGUUAUCAACCUCGGCUAGAGAUCCUUUCUCGACUCCCUGCGAGAAAGCAAUCCCAGAGCCAUACUAUCCAUUUCUCAUAUCCAUGUCUCAUCUCAAGUAUCCAGUUCUAGUUGUAUCAAUCGGGAUACAACUCCAAGUGUCCGUUACCAUAGGACAGGCUAUCGAUAGAUGUUUUCUUCCCUGGAGGGGUGCACCAACUUACCCACCACGCUCGAUUAACUCCGGCCGGACACACUUUCCUGGGUCAUGCCCGGCCUCGGCCAAACAAUACGCCGCAACCCGACCUAGGCUUAAUAGAGAGGUCAGCACGCUAGACUAAACCUAUUCCCCCAGGGGUCAUGGGCCAUCGCCCCGAGAACUCCUGCACGUUGCGAACGCGGCCGGUCAGCAGACCUAGCUACCUCCUUCAAAAAGACAGGUGCUUACCAAUCCAACCCGGCGCACGCCGCCAGUCGCUGACGUCUGUUAAGCUUCGGUUGAUGCAUACGACAAAGAAAGCCCAUACUAUGCCCACGUGAUGGUUAGUGCUAUCAGGCUAGAGGCCCCUCGGAUCAAUUAUCCAAAUCGUAGUGGAUUAGGAGCACGCGGUAACAAGCAGAGACUCGCGAAAGAUGUGACACCGUUGUCCCAUCUCGAGGACUUCCGGCAAGGGCUAGGAAUGCCCGGCCACGCCUCGUAAUUAUCUUGCGGGCACCCUCCAGGUCAACCCGUCUCCACAUCACACGCGCGUACCCCUCAGGUUCGACCCGCCUCUCCAAGUAACGGUGGUAAAGUCCAAGUAUCCGUGUGUCCAAACAUCAAGGGGAAAACCCAAGGAAUCACCCCCGGUGAAUUCCACUCGAUGUAGUCAUCAAGGUGAACGUAAGAGGAUCCACCCUCGAGGUUCACACUUGAGGGGUUGCACGACAGAGUCGUAUCGGAAGUGGUUAAGGAAGAAAUCACCCUCGAUGACCACGACCGAAUAGCUACACUACAGAGAUCCCAUCAGGAGUGAUGUAUGAGGUUCCACCCUCGGCACUCGAUGGUAACUCUGCUGAGUCGAGCAACAAAAGGGGCGGGAUGUGAUGUGAGGUGUCGGGCUCCGAUCUUCGAUCCCGUUGAUCGGGUCUUCAAACAUAAAGCGGGUCAACCGGGACAAGGUGGGGGUCACUAAUGGAUCACUAACCAGCCUAUACUAAGCAUUUUAGGAUAAGCAGGUAAGGUACAAUGAGUAGGUUACAAAAGCGGGCUAAGCAUCAGAAUAGGAGCAAACAAUAACAGUAGCAAAAUCUAAUGCAAGCAUGGGAGAAUGGAAUGGGCGAUAUUGAAAUGAUCAAAGGGGGGGCUUGCCUUGUUAUUCUGGCAAGGAGGGGUCGUUGUCGACGUAGUCGAUCACAGGGGCAGCAUCGGUCUCGGGGUCUACCGGAGAGAAGAGGGGGGAGAAAUAGUAAAUGUAAAGCAAACAUAGCAUCACAAAGCAUAACGUGGCAAUAUGUUGUGCCGGGUGUGACCUAACGUAUGGCUACACGAUACAGGUGAAGGUGGAAUUCAACCGGGAAUUCCCGGUUCCGGACCUGUGUAAGACAGAUGACCGGAGGGGGAUGUUCCAUGUUCAUAUAGUUAGAGGCAUCUGACAGGUAAACGGAUCGCGCAUUCGGAUUCGUUGGAUUUUUCUGAGCAACUUUCAUAUAUAAAGUUUUUCGAUCCGAGCUACCGUUUAUUUUCUACGGAUUUUUAAAGAUUAAAGUAUUUUCUGGAGUUAUUCAAAUUAGCAGAAAUUCAUUAUGAUGUCAGCAUUGCAUGGGGAUUACGUCAGCAGUCAACAGACUCGCUGACCAGGGUCGAACCUGACCUGUGGGUCCAAUGGGACCCACAUGUCAGCCUCUGUUAGUCCAACAGGGUUUUAUACUAAUCUAGCUGGGUUAAUUAACUGGGUGGGGCCCUUCUGUCAGCGAGUGAUUAGUGUUUUGAAUAAUUAAUUUAACUAAUUAACUGGCUUGUAUUUAUUUAAAAACGUUAAAUGGACGGGACCCACAUGCCAGUGACACGGGGCCAGCCUAGUCAGCAGUUGACCCGGUUAACAGGUCAACUGGACCCACUGGUCAGUGGCACGGCGGGCCCCAGUAGUCAGUCCAAGUCAGCGGUGGCCGGCGACUCGCCGAAAUCACGCCGGCGAGCGCAUUCGUCGUGGCACGAGAAUGGGCACCGGUCGGAAACCGCGCACAGACCACCAUUUUGGCCGCGGUUGGGUGGAUUGGAACGGUGAGUCGACGGCGCAUCAACUGGCGGUGGUCGGAGUGGCUGAAACGACGGCGACGAGCUGGUUCGGGAGCUCUACGGGGAGACCAUUUCGGCGUGCGAACCAACGGAAGAAAGAGCUAGGCGGGUGCUAUGCAGUGCGGCGACUCUAACGGGCACUCGCCCAUGACCAUAAGUUCACCGGAGACUCGCCGACGACGAGCCCCGCGGCGCUGUGUUCGGGAGCGCGUGGAAAAUGUAGUUAGGAUACGCGCUAGGGCCAGCAGGGAGUGGGGAAGGAAGAGAAGCUCACCGGGGAGGCACAAGGUGGCCUGGUGUCAGCUUAGUAGCAGCAGCAGUUGCCAGAGAGGACGAAGUUCACCGGCAACAGUGGCGGAAGGGGACGGCUGGCUCGGCUCGUUGUGGAGCUCUCCGGCUCCAAUUAGGGGCACCAGACGACGCAGCUUUUCGUGGCGGAGCGCUACGGCAUGAUGGAUCGGCUCGGAGACGACGGGGACAGCAAGGACGACGGCGCGCGGCGGUAGAUGCGUUCGGGUGGUGGAUCUGAGAAGGAGGCGCGGUGACGGAGUGAGCGGGGAGAGGGGGAGAAAUGGAUGAGGACGCCAGGGAGAGCGGGGGUGAGUGGAGGCGGGGAUCGAGGAGACGGGGAGGCGCGGGGCCUUACCCCCUCGUCGGAGCUGGCGAGGUGGUCGGUCAGCGACGAGCCCCUCUAGUGGUCAUUUGACCUUUAAAAGACAUUUAGGUUUUUUUCUAGCCAUUUAAUGACUGUAAUUCAAAUUUGAACUACAUCUACAUGCAACGGCUAACCACAAUGGUUUGAAAAAUCAUAUUUGUGUGCUUUUGUGCGCGUUAAUUCCAUGUGCAGUAAAUUAUAACGAAUUUUCAAACAUAUUUGUCUCACGAUUGGACACAUGCAUAUGUAUGCAUGGAGUAAGAUGGCAUUUAAAUUCCAAAAAACUAAAAAAUAACAGAAACACAUGAAACCUUGGUUGAUGUAAUGUCAUGCCACCAAGAUGAUGUGGUAAAAAAAUUGGCAUGUUUGACGAAAGUUUGGACACACACCCCUCACAAACCGGAGCAACUCACUACAAGGCUCGUGGUUUCGAGAGGGAACACUGCAUGUUUGAUGACGAACGGGAGAUAGCUCCCUGUUACAGCCUUCAAUUUUUCUACGUCUAGCGUGCAAUACUACAACUGUACUGUGAAAAAUUGGAAAACUCUAGUGGCCAUUUGACCUUUUGAAGACAUUCAAGUUAUUUUCUAGCCAUUUAAUGACCGUAAUUCACAUUUGAACUACAUCUACAUGCAACACCUAACCAUAACGGUUUUAAAAAUCAUAUUUUUGUACUUGUGUGCGAGUUAAUUCCAUGUGCAGUAAAUUAGAAGGAAAUUUCAAACAUAUUUGUCUCACGACUGGACACAUGCAUAUGUAUGCAUAGAGUAACAUGGCAUUUAAAUUCCAAAAACUUAAUAAAAUAUCAGAAACACAUGAAACCUUGGUUGAUGUAGUGUCAUGCCACCAAGAUGAUGUGGUGAAUUUGGCAUGUGUGACGAAAGUUUGGACACACACCCCUCACAAACCGGAGCAACUCACUAGAAGGCUAGUGGUUCCGAGAGGGACAAUGCAUGUUUGAUGACCAACGGGACAUAGCUUCCUCUUACAGCUUUUAAAUUUUUUCUACGUGUAACGUGCAGUAAUACUACUGACAUGUGAAAAAUAGGAAAAUUUCAGGGGUCAUUUGACCUUUUGAAGACAUUUAAGUGAUUUUCUAGCCAUUUAAUGACCGUAAUUCAAAUUUGAAUUACAUCUACAUGCAACAGCUAACCAUAAUGGUUUGAAAUAUCAUAUUUGUGUACUUGUCUGCGAGUUAAUUACAUGUGCAGUAAAUAAGAAGAAAUUUUCAAACAUAUUUGUCUCACGACUGGACACAUGCAUAUGUAUGCAUGGAGUGACAUGACAUUUAAAUUCCAAAAAACUAAAAAAAUAUCA